GACGAACGCUGGCGGCGUGCCUAAUACAUGCAAGUAGGACGCAGUUGCGAACGGGUGAGUAACGCGUAGGUAACUGCCUAUUAGAGGGGGAUAACUAUUGGAAACGAUAGCUAAUACCGCAUACUAGUAGAUGGACCUGCGUUGUAUUAGCUAGUAGGUAGGGUAAUGGCCUACCUAGGCGACGAUACAUAGCCGACCGGGGAGGGUGACCGGCCACACAUGGACUUGGACACGGCCCAGACUCCUACGGGAGGCAGCAGUAGGGAAUCUUCGGCAAUGGGGGGAACCCUGACCAAGCAACGCCGCGGGAGUGAAUAAGGUUUUCGGGUCGUAAAGCUCUGUUGUUAAGGAAGCGGUACUUAACCAGAAAGGGACGGCUAACCACGUGCCAGCAGCCGCGGUAAUAC
rnacentral:rRNA from 1 species